rnacentral:rRNA from 1 species
CCUACGGGAGGCAGCAGUGGGGAAUAUUGCGCAAUGGGCGAAAGCCUGACGCAGCGACGCCGCGUGAGGGAUGAAGGUCUUCGGAUCGUAAACCUCUGUCAGCAGGGAAGAACGGUCACUGUGCUAAUCAGCAGUGAAUGGACGGUACCAGCAAAGGAAGCACCGGCUAACUCCGUGCCAGCAGCCGCGGUAAUACGGAGGGGGCGAGCGUUAAUCGGAAUUACUGGGCGUAAAGCGCUCGUCGGCGGUAUGUCAAGUCAAGGGUGAAAUCCCCGCGCUCAACGUGGGAACUGCCUUUGAAACUGUCACCCUGGAGUGUGUGAUCGGCUAGUGGACUUCCAGGUGUAGCAGU